CCUACGGGUGGCAGCAGUGAGGAAUAUUGGUCAAUGGACGAGAGUCUGAACCAGCCAAGUCGCGUGAAGGAUGACUGCCCUAUGUAUUGUAAACUUCUUUUGUAAAGGAAUAAAACGAGGCACGUGUGCCUGGUUGCAUGUACUUUAUGAAUAAGGAUCGGCUAACGCCGUGCCAGCAGCCGCGGUAAUACGGAGGAUCCGAGCGUUAGCCGGAUUUAUGGGGUUUAAAGGGAGCGUAGAUGGGUGGGUAAGUCAGUGGGGAAAGUUUGCGGCUCAACCGUAAAAUUGCAAUUGAUACUGGCAGUCUUGAGUACAGGUGAGGUAGGCGGAAUUCGUGGUGUAGCGGUGAAAUGCUUAGAUAUCACGAAGAACCCCGAUUGCGAAGGCAGCUUACUAAACUGUGACUGACAUUGAGGCUCGAAAGUGUGGGUAUCAAACAGGAUUAGAUACCCGAGUAGUC
rnacentral:rRNA from 1 species